ACGAAGUCUUGGCAUAAUAAUCCCUUUCUUAAAGUUAAUUGAGUCUUGAGAUAAAUGUUUUAAGCUAAUUAAUCAAAGUACAUUUUCUAUGUAUUAGAGAAAAAAAAGAAAAAAACGUCAUCUACAAUAAGUGAUCAAAUGCAUAAGAAGAUAGAAAAAGAGCGAUUUUCCCCUUGAAAAAACUGUUCGCACUACAAUUCCCAUGCUCCUUUUUGUGAGGAGCUGACCAAUCACUGAACUCCAAAAUUUCAGGCAAUCGAGCUUCGCCUUGACUUCCUGUUAGCUACUUCCUGACUGAAAGACUGCAUGGCUGUUCGUUGCCUAUCUGAAUUCCAAUUUAAUUACCAUCCAUAGGAGAGCGCGAUCGGCAGACGGCUGCCGCUGAUCAGACAGCCAAUUUAGAGAGACCCACUCAUUGACUCAACGGUCAGGUUUUUUUGACAGAUUCAUUCCAGUGACGCACAUGGAUUGGAAGUCACGCUCGACCUGGAGUUGAAGCCUUCUGGUUGAAUUGGGAUUGGAUGUUCGUAUCCUGAAACCCCGAAAGAUUCCCAGCUUACGUUGGGUGGCGAGCCACGGACCCACGAGCAUAAGUCUAUGCGCAGUUUCACUUUCCCUUUUUCACGGAUUGUGUGGUAGGAUCCACGAGUAUGUUCACUUCCAAACUCUAUACCAGUAGACUGGAAGACCUGUUUUAUGACAGCUAAAAUUACUGACACAGUUCUUCAAAAGUGAGAUCAGUUUUGAUUUGUUUUGUUUUGUAUCUGUGGUUUGAACUCAUCUGAAAGCUUGUAAAUUGUUACAAAAAAAGGACAGUCCAAAAAUAGCUUUUGGGUUUGACAAACACAAACAAUGUUGGUGAUGGGCCGAACACAACUGAACAAACGAAGGCAUGAAACUCCAAACACACAUUUAUGACACAACAUAUGGUGAGUGUGAAUUAAAAGUUAAUAAAUCUGUUGACACAAAAAGACCUGUUGACAGUUUUCAUAUCAUUCAUAAUGAUUUUAAGAAAGUCAUAAACAAUAAAUGAUGUAUUUGUGUUAUGUUGUUACAUAACCUACAGCUUUAACUUUGUAACAGCACACACCUACUCAAACACAUCACAUC